rnacentral:lncRNA from 1 species
CCAGCUCCAAGAGGAGCCAGAGCGAGUCGGAUACUCACGGCCUGAUCGUAGCAAAGACACAGAACUGGAUUUUCCAGGGCCAAGAAUUGAGGGUCUCUUCCAAUUCUUUCAGCUGUGUCUAGUCUGCCUUUUAACCUAUCCACUGAGUUUCAAUUUCCAUUAUUAUUAUUAUCAUUAUUUUAUUUUAUUUUUAGAAGUGUUAUGUUUCUUUUUUUCACAUCUGCCUGGUCUUUACGAUAGUAUCUUAUUUCUAGCUUCUGUUUUUGACUCCCUCUCUUAUUCCUUUAUGCCCUGUAAAAAUGCUCAUUUCAGAUCCUAUAGGGGAUAAUUCCGACGUCUGACGUCCUUGGGGGACCUCGCUCUGCUGGCGCCAUUUCCGCUGACUCCUGCUCAAAUUCCAACCACCUGCCUGCUUUCCUGGUGACAUUUCAGUAUGGUGCAACCCUUUUGGGGGAGGGCAGGCUCACUGUGUGUUGAUAGCCUGACGACAUCAGUGAAAACACGACUUGAUUUUGUGUAGAACAGACUCUAUGCAUUUGUGAAGCGUGUUCUAAUUCUGGCUCAGCUGGUAGGAAUUCUCAGAGAUGAGCCAGAUCCCCGACUCCGCACGCAGCUUGUUCCGCUGGACCACAGCUCCACGUUCUGCUGAAUUUGAUGGGACCCGUGAAACCUAGGAUUUGCAGACCACGAAGCUGUCCAUCUGCCUCUCCCCUCGAUUGCUCAUCUCUG